GCGGGGACAUGUGGGAGCUGAAAUCCAGCCCACCCUCCCCUGGCCAAGCUAUGCCCCUUGGCACUGGGCUGCAUCAGUUGAGAAGAAGGGGAGCUUUUUUCUUAGUACAAAGGUGUCCUGUCCUCCCCACCCCAUGGGCUCAUGGUGCUGCAUCUGCCCAAAAGAGGGUCUUUUUCUAAGGACACAAAGGCACCAUGAAUGAGCGUGCCCUGGCUGGUGAGGAGAGGGAAGCUAGCAAAGGAGGCCAGUGCUGUGUCUGGGUCCAACAGGACUCUCACUCUCCCUGGCCUUGGCUGACCCCACAAUGCUCCCCUCCACUCUGAUGGGUCUGUUGCAGACACCACUCUGCCCUUGAGAGGCACCCCAUGGAGGAAUGAGAAGUAGGUUCUUUCAAGAGCUCAAAUCAAGUUGAACCAAAAAGAGAAGGAAGGCUCUGAGAGAAGAGUUUCAGUCUGGAGAGACAGCUGGCGGGCGUGGGGUUCAGAUCGGUUUUACUUUUGCCUCCUCCCAAGAAAGGCCCUGAAGAAAGAAGGUCACCCCUCAGGGAGGUCAGCCCUCAGGAGAGUACCUUCCCUCCUGCAAAUAAACCUUCAGAACUUGCAGGAACCCCUCACCCCAUCGCCUUUCUUUCCUUUGCUCACUAAUCCAGGAAUGGGCCAGUACAAACUAAGAGGCAGGCACUCUUAAGGAUAUGAAGAUUUUCCAAAGGAUACGUAUUUUGGUGUGGGUCAUUUGAAGAGACUCACGGGACCAAAUCCUCAACUUCUGCUUGGCUGUCUUAUACAGGUGACCUGUCUGAGUACAUGCCAGUGGAUGCUGCUGCUGUGGUUCUCCCUCCUGCCUCCCCUUUCUCCCAUUUCCCCCCAAAAAGGGCAUACCUCUUACCGAUCCCACAUCUUACCAUGGUGCAUUGACCAGGGAAAAUGUCCAGUGCAGUGAAGGGAGAAUCUAAAUCCUGGUAUCCAUGCUGAGAAAAUGAGCAGGAGCAACUCUAAUGACCGAACAAAUCAACUAGCUUUCAAUUCCCUGCCUUUACUCAAAGUGAAGGAGAAUCAAUUCUAGCGGUCAGCUGAUAGAUUUUUAAUGAUCGGCCCAUAUGAUUUUUGGCAUAUAACUCGAAAGGAAUUUAUACAGUUGAAUGACACUGCUAUCACCAAAGUCCUUGCAUUCCUUUGUCCUUAUGUGAAAAAGGUUUCUGAGCUGAGCAUCAAUUUUUAAAAAAGAAAAACAGGAAUAGAAUUAAUGCUGAACUCUGACCCUUUCUAGCAAUAACGAUUAUUCACCCAUGAAUAUAGGAACUAACUGGGAUGAAGAAGGAAGCGUCAUUUCCUUAAAAGAUGCAUUUCAAAUUAAUUAUUCUUUAUGCUUUCUUGUUACCUAUUACAAUUUGUAAAGCAUUUGUUUUGAUUGUGUACUAGUCAUCCUGGUACAAAUGAAGACAAAAUGUUCUUUAACACUGAGUAUAUGGUCACAGAAAAAUUUAAAAGUAAAUUCGUCUUAUACACAUAGUUUUGUUGGGAAGAAGUAUGAUAGAGUGAAGGGUGAUACAUAAAAGACUUUGAACCGUAAAAAUAUAUUCUGCUAAAAUUCUGUACGGGAAGUAGAAGAGAAAUAUAAGUUCAAGGAGAAAAAAAGAAAUGAAAUUUGUUCAAAUUGUUCAUGUAGUUUUAAAAGGGAUGAUGGUUGUAUCCAAUCACAAUAGCAUUACAUUUAGAAACAUUUUUCAGAGUACUGUGACAGUUUUAUUUUAAAAUGUCAAAUAUUUGCAAUACACCAGAAAGUAGACUCUAUGUAACUAUUUAAACUUAUGAAAACAAUUUAAAUGUUUGCACCUAAAAAUGUGCAAGGGGUACACAGAUUUUCAAAAUUCUUUUAGGAGUCUGCAAGGAAAAUGUUUAGAGAACCAGGGUCACGGAGCUGGCGCUUCCCUGCAAGGGGAGUGUACUUAGACGUAAAACCAAGGGCUCUGGGGAUGGGAGGGCACCCUCAAAGUUAGGGGGUAAACUCUCACUGGGGCUGGGUUGGUGGCAAAGGAGCCAAGGCGCUCCCUCUUCACCCUAGCAAUACUUUCCUCUGGUCUUUUGUUUUCUUGUUUUAUUUUCAGCGUUCCUCUAAAAUCCCAUUCUCUCCACUACAGAUGCUCUGCCAGGUCAGGGUGCGUUCUGCUCUGCGUUUUUCCAUCCUGCCUAAACGGCGGGGUCUUACUCUGUCCCACAGGCUAGAGUACAGUGGCGCAAUCAUGGCUCAUACGGCCUCGACUUCCCUGGCUCAAGCAAUUCUCCAACCCAGCUUCCCAAGUAGCUGGGACUACAGGCACUCGCCAACACGCCCUGCUAUUUUUAAAAUUUUUUGUAGAGAUAGGGUCUCAUUAUGUUGCCUGGACUGGUCUCUAACUCCUAGAUUCAAGCAAUCUGCCCACCUCAGCCCCCCAAAGUGUUGGGGUUACAGAUGUGAGCCACUGCACCCAGCAUUCUUCUUCUUCUAAAAACUGGCCUAGACAAAAAAAAAUUGCCUAAAGUUGAAUAGCUAAUAAAGUGUGAAAAAUUGAGGGUUACAGUUUAUCCAAAGGGAUGAACUCUGAUUUAGGUUAAUUUGAGUCUAGAGCCCAGCCUCUUAGCCUCCACACUCUGAACUGUCUGCCACAAUAGUAACUAGGAAGAAAUAAGAAUACAACACUGCAUAUACACCAUCAGGCCAGUGAUGUGUAUAUAUGUGUAUACAUUUGCCACUACACACAAUGUAUGCAGAGGAAAAGGAUGGGAAGACAGACUCCCACAUUUUCACUAUGGUAUCUCUCAGUGGUACAAUCACCAGUGAUUUAGAUUUUCUUUUAAAUUUUCUAUAAUGUGUGUGUGUGUGUAUUAAUUUAACAAUUAGAUAAAAUGUUAUGUACAGGUCGAUUUCACUAAAAAGCCAGGUGCUGAUUACAGCAGUAUUCAUUAUAAUGAAAACUUGAAAGUAGCUCACAUAUCAAUUACUGUUGAUACUCGGGUCACUAUUGGAUUUGUUAAGUGAGUUAUAAAAUAUAUAUCUAUUGCAAUAGUUUGCAGCCAUUGAAAAUGAAGAUUACAAAGACCAAGUGAAACCAUUAUGUGAAAAAAUAAAAAAUGCUAGGCAUAUUAUGCAUAAUUAUUUGAGGAUAUCAUUGUAAAAUCUGUAAGGAAAGAGGAAAUGAUAACUGCAACAGGAUAGUAAAAUUAAAUUUGAUUUAAAAAUAUUUUUUGAACUUCUAUAACAUUUUUCUAUUUCUUGUUUAAUAAUAAAACUAGUUUCAUUGAUUUAAGGUUUAGUAUCAAAAUUAGCAUGGAACACCUAGAUGCCUCUUUUGCCUUUUAGAGUAUGCUUUCUGCUUCAUCUCAUUUUAUGGCCCAAACAUCCCAAUGCAAAUAGGCAUUUUCUCUCCCACGUUAAUGACAGGACAGUUAUGGCCAAGAAAAAGUGAGCAAGUUGCUUGAUGUAAACUAGCAGGUGAAUGGCAACGCUGCACUAGAACCCUAGGCUUGCAAGCUCCCGCCUCAAGGCUCUGGCCUAUAAACGCACAGUGAUUCUCUCACAUAGAGGGCUGCAAAGCCCUGCCUAGAGAAUACAAACUGCUAUUAUUAAGACCCCAAACCCAAGAUCCAAGUGUAGGUUCUCUCUAGUGGGUAAGCCUGGAGGCAGGAAACAUGCCUGUUAAUGCUCUUGGUCUUCAGAAUGGGAAGUCAAAGGCCUAAAGCAUUCUCCUGCACUCUCCAAACUCAUCCACCCACCCACUUCCCCCCAACCAUACACACACAGCCACCCUUGUCCUCAAAAGCAGUCUCCCUGGUAACGUGUUCUGCCCUUGGAUGGAGACAGAGGCCAGUGGAUUUGUAGUUUAUCCUCUUCUUGCAGUUUAAGGUACAACCCUGCCCACAACCCCAGUAAGAGAAGCAAGGAUCCCCGAGGCCAGAAUGUGCCAAAGUCCAGUUGCAAACCAGGCCGGUAUCAGUGAAAUAAGCCUGGAAAGAGAGAUGAGAAGAGGUCAAGGGUCAGCGACAGCUGGUGAAGCCAGCACUGGGGUGGGGAUUGGGGGCCUGGAGAGCCCCAGAAAAGUUGGUCAUGGGCCCCUGGUCCCUCACUUAAUAGAUAUGUGACUUGCCAGGGUCACACAGCAGCUGGAGAGAACGGGGAGUGAGCCCAAUCUAAAGCCCAAAGGAAUCCAUCAAAGACAGGGCCACAAUUCCACAAAGCCAGGCUCUAUUCAUUCAUUCAAGAUAUACCCAGCACCCUUCUUGCUAACCAUAUCUUUCUGAUUUUUAUGGGGCCAGAGCCAAUACCCUAGCCCUCACCCCACUCCCUAGUCCCUUGGUGGGGCUGAUGAACCUCAUGGCUCAAAGUGGGAAAAAUCUGGGAAGUCACAGGUAAAGGGGUGGUCAUCUCUCCAGGGCAACAAACUGAAACUCCAAAGCACAUGAAACAAACCAAUGGGCUGAGAGUCCAGGAGAUGUCCGAGUCUGAGGAUUCCACAGCACAGUGGGGAAAGUUUCUGGAAGGUAGAAGGAGGCAGGAAGAGGUGCCUCUCAACUCAAGUAGUCAAGAAAUUUAAGCAUGCUUUAAAGAACUAAGAGAAAACUGAAAGGUAUGGAGGUGUGGUAAUGGCACAAAAAUUUAAAAGGGGGAGCUAAGCCUAGGUUUAGCAGUCCUGCUGGCAGGUGAGGGUCCCCAGUAAGGAGAAAGGGAGGUGAGAGUGCGUGGAUAAGGUGAUGCUUCCUCUGCUGGCCUGAAGGAUUUCUGUAAACAGUGCAUGUGUUUGUUCCUGCCUUGGGGUGGGAUUGUCAUCAUGUUAGCCACUUCUGCUACUAAAGACAUAGGUGAAGCUAAUGGUAUUCUUUGCAAGGAAAAGGAAUAUCAUUGUCCCCAGAAACUAUUUACAGGGGGCUUUCCAAAAAAAAUGUUUUAAGUGUGCAUUGGUUGGAGCUGGCUGAUGAUGGGGCAUUGGCUUUCCUACUUCUGCGGAGUUGCUGAGAGUUAUUUUGAGCAAGGAAGGGGAGAGGCAAGUGCAAGAACUGGCACACAGUAAAAUGAGGCCGUGUCCCUUACAUACUUUGGAGCUCCCAGUGGCUUCCCACUCUAGUUAGGAUAAAUCCAAAUUCCUUAAAUGCCGCCCACAAGACCCACAAAAGCCUUAUCCUUUCUCUUUCUCCUCCACACACUUAGCAAAGCCCCAUUGGUCUCCUUCUUGCUCCUUAAACCAACAGAGCUGUUUUUGCCUUGAUGCCCCCAUGGUUCAAGUGUUGCUGCGGUCUGCAUGUCAGUGUCCCCCUAAAAUUCAUGUGUUGACACUUAAUCCCCAAGGUGAUAGUGUUAAGAAGUGGGGCCUCUGGGAGGUGAUUAGAUUGGGAGGGCUCUGCUCCUCAUGAAUGAGAUUAGGUGCCUUGAUCUUGGACUUCCCAGCCUCCAGACUGUGAGCAAUGAAUUUCUCUUGUUUAUAAAUUGCCCAGCCUAAGGUAUUUUCUUAUAGCAGCCCAAACAAUCCAAGACAGAUGUGACACGCUUGCCGUUCCCUCUGCUUAGAAUGAAUGCCCUUCCUGUUUCCCCAGUUCCCUCCUCCCCUUCUUCUGUUUUUGUGUCUGGCUCCUUCCCUUCCUUUAGGUGCAAGGGAGAUUUAGGAAGAGGCCUUCCUUGAGCUGGGGUCAUGGAAGGCCAUGCUGCCCAUAACCCUUUACUUCUCCUUAACACUUUAACCAAUCCCAAGUC
rnacentral:lncRNA from 1 species